UACAGAGGGUGCGAGCGUUAAUCGGAAUUACUGGGCGUAAAGCGUGCGCAGGCGGUUUUGUAAGGCUGUCGUGAAAGCCCCGGGCUCAACCUGGGAAUUGCGAUGGAGACUGCAAGGCUUGAAUCUGGCAGAGGGGGGUAGAAUUCCACGUGUAGCAGUGAAAUGCGUAGAGAUGUGGAGGAACACCGAUGGCGAAGGCAGCCCCCUGGGUCAAGAUUGACGCUCAUGCACGAAAGCGUGGGGAGCAAACAGG
rnacentral:rRNA from 1 species